CUCAUGUAAGUCAGUUGCUGGUU
rnacentral:piRNA from 1 species